UACGUAGGGGGCAAGCGUUGUCCGGAAUCAUUGGGCGUAAAGAGCGUGUAGGCGGCUCGGUAAGUCCGCUGUAAAAGUCCAGGGCUCAACCCUGGAAAGCCGGUGGAAACUGUCGAGCUAGAGUCCGGAAGAGGCGAGUGGAAUUCCUGGUGUAGCGGUGAAAUGCGCAGAUAUCAGGAGGAACACCAAUGGCGAAGGCAGCUCCGCUGGGACGGUACUGACGCUGAGACGCGAAAGCGUGGGGAGCAAACAGG
rnacentral:rRNA from 1 species